ensembl:lncRNA
GCCGGUACCGGUGCGGGGAACGCAGGCGGUGCUGGGUAAAGGCGCCUGGAGGAACACCAAAACAGAGAGAGGGGGGGGGGGGGAGAGAGGGAGAGGAGGCCGAGGGACAAGGAGUGGCCGCUGGGGGAGGGACGCGGCAGCGCGAGAUGGAGGCGAUGCUGAAGCUGUCGUGCAGGAGGAAGAGCACAGCCCAGGGGCUGCGACCCGGCCUCCGGUCCGUGCAGGACCGAAAGGAGCCCACGGCCAGAGGUAGGGGUGACGCAUCUCCUCCCACAGCUAGAGAAUGGCUCAGCCAGCAGCGACCCCAUGUCCAGCAGGGAAGAGCUCGACGCCCUCCUGAGUGAGGUAGGACACGCGGAGUGCAUCCGCAGCACAUUCACA